rnacentral:pre_miRNA from 9 species
AGGCCAUCUUCGAUAGCCAAGGAUGAUUUGCCUGUGAAACUCACCUGGCAGCCAAGCUCUCUGCCAUGCCACAGAGAACGGCGUGCCGCAGUUCCAUGGGCAAGUCACCCUGGCUACCCAAGUACCCCU